GGGAUUAGUGGCGAACGGGUGAGUAACACGUGAGUAACCUGCCCUUAACUCUGGGAUAAGCCUGGGAAACUGGGUCUAAUACCGGAUAUGACUCCUCAUCGCAUGGUGGGGGGUGGAAAGCUUUAUGGGGGUUUUGAAGGAAUCCCCGGCUAACCACUUGGUUGUGAAGGUAUGGCUUUACCAGGGCAACAACGGUUACCCGGCCUAAAAGGUGAACCGGCCCCCUGGGAAUGGAAACCCGGCCCAAAUUCUUACGGAAGGCACCAUGGGGAAUUUUUGCCCAUGGGCCCCAACCCUAAUCCACCAACCCCCCUGAAGGAAUAACGGCCUCCGGGUGGUAACCUCCUUCCAUAAGGAAAAAACCAAAGUUAACGGACCCGGCAAAAAAACCCCCGGUUACUUCCUUCCCACCACCCCCGUAAUUCCUUAGGGCCCAACCUUAUCCCGAAUUUUUUGGCCUUAAAAACUUCUAAGGCGGUUGGCCCCUCCGGCCUUAAAAUCCCGGGCUUCACUUCCGAACCGCCGUGGGUACCGGCCAAAUUAAAUGGAGGAAGGGAAAAUGGAAUUUCUGGUGGUACCGUUAAAUUCCCCAAUAUCAGAAGAACCCCCAAUGCCAAAGGCAGGCCCCUGGCCAUAACUUGACCCUAAGAACCAAAACCUUGGGAACCAACCAGAAUAAAAUACCCUGGUAAUCCUUGCCGUAAACGUUGGGCCCUAGGUGUGGGGACAUUCCCCCUUUUUCCCCCCCGUAGCUAACGCAUUAAGUGCCCCGCCUGGGGAAUACGGCCGCAAGGCUAAAACUCAAAGGAAUUGACGGGGGCCCGCACAAGCGGCGGAGCAUGCGGAUUAAUUCGAUGCAACGCGAAGAACCUUACCAAGGCUUGACAUGGACCGGACUGCUGCAGAGAUGUGGUUUCCCCUUUGGGGCCGGUUCACAGGUGGUGCAUGGUUGUCGUCAGCUCGUGUCGUGAGAUGUUGGGUUAAGUCCCGCAACGAGCGCAACCCUCGUUCUAUGUUGCCAGCGCGUGAUGGCGGGGACUCAUAGGAGACUGCCGGGGUCAACUCGGAGGAAGGUGGGGACGACGUCAAAUCAUCAUGCCCCUUAUGUCUUGGGCUUCACGCAUGCUACAAUGGCCGGUACAAAGGGUUGCGAUACUGUGAGGUGGAGCUAAUCCCAAAAAGCCGGUCUCAGUUCGGAUUGGGGUCUGCAACUCGACCCCAUGAAGUCGGAGUCGCUAGUAAUCGCAGAUCAGCAACGCUGCGGUGAAUACGUUCCCGGGCCUUGUACACACCGCCCGUCAAGUCACGAAAGUUGGUAACACCCGAAGCCGG
rnacentral:rRNA from 1 species